GCCGAGGUAGCCAAGCCCGGAUUAAGGCGCCGGUCUUGAAAACCGGUGUGUUCGCACUCAUGAGUUCAAAUCUCAUCCUCGGCG
rnacentral:tRNA from 1 species